GACGAACGCUGGCGGCGUGCCUAAUACAUGCAAGUCGAACGAAGUGGCGCACGGGCGAGUCAUAUAUAGUUAUUCUGCCCUACACAGAGGAACAACAGUUGGAACCGACUGCUAAUACCUCAUAGUGGAGGAUGAGACUAUAGCGUAUCAGCUAGUUGGUAAGGUGAUGGCUUACCAAGGCUAUGACGCGUCACUGGUCGGAGAGGAUGAUCAGUCACAUUGGAACUGAGACACGGUCCAAACUCCUACGGGAGGCAGCAGUAAGGAAUAUUGCGCAAUGGGGGAAAACCUGACGAAGCAACGCCGCGUGGAGGAUGACACUUUUCGGAGCGUAAACUCCUUUUAUCAGGAAAGCGGUACCUGAUGAAUAAGCACCGGCUAACUCCGUGCCAGCAGCCGCGGUAAUAC
rnacentral:rRNA from 1 species